rnacentral:misc_RNA from 1 species
GACAAAAGUAGAUUAUGUAUAUGGAUUUCAUUGGGUGGGGAAUUCAAAAGUGGGUUGAACAAUCAAAAAUUUAAAAUCAACUUGAAAACUUGUGGCUGGCUGGCUGCAUCAUCCAGAAUUCAGAAAUAAAGGCAUUGAGCUGCAAGGCUUCACUAAAAAGAAACAAGAACAACAAGGAGUUGAACCCUUGCAGGCAACAAUUUAGAUUAUAGUUUAACUUCUUGGAGUCCAUGCACAUAUAUUGAUUGACUAAAAUUUUAAAUUGUUGCUUGGUGACAACAUAAAAAAGGGAUGCUGAGGAAAUGCUAAAAUUUUAUUGGAAGAUAAAUUUGGCAACAAAAUUUAAACUAUGCUGCAUUUUGCAAAAGAGAGA